UACGUAGGGCGCAAGCGUUGUCCGGAAUUAUUGGGCGUAAAGAGCUCGUAGGCGGCCUGUUGCGUCCGCUGUGAAAUCCCGGGGCUCAACCCCGGGCCUGCAGUGGAUACGGGCUGGCUAGAGGCAGGCAGGGGAGAACGGAAUUCCUGGUGUAGCGGUGAAAUGCGCAGAUAUCAGGAGGAACACCGGUGGCGAAGGCGGUUCUCUGGACCUGUACUGACGCUGAGGAGCGAAAGCGUGGGGAGCGAACAGG
rnacentral:rRNA from 1 species